rnacentral:rRNA from 1 species
GUCUACAGCCAUGUCACCCUGAACAUGUGCAAUCUUGGCUGUUCUCUGAAGCUAAGCAGGGUCGGGCCUGGUUAGUUUUUGGAUGGGAGAUCGCCUAGGAAUAUCAGGUGCUGUAGGCU